rnacentral:rRNA from 1 species
AUAUUAGGAGGAACACCAGUGGCGAAGGCGACUUACUGGACUGUAACUGACGCUGAGUCACGAAAGCGUGGUAGCAAACAGGAUUAGAUACCCUGGUAGUCCACGCUGUAAACGAUGAGUGCUAGGUGUUGGCCAGCGAUGGUCAGUGCCGCAGUUAACACAAUAAGCACUCCGCCUGGGGAGUACGGUCGCAAGACUGAAACUCAAAGGAAUUGACGGGGACCCGCACAAGCAGCGGAGCAUGUGGUUUAAUUCGAAGCAACGCGAAGAACCUUACCAAGGCUUGACAUCCCCUUGACCAGUGCAGAGAUGUACUCUCUCCUUCGGGAGCAAGGGUGACAGGUGGUGCAUGGUUGUCGUCAGCUCGUGUCGUGAGAUGUUGGGUUAAGUCCCGCAACGAGCGCAACCCUUAUCCUUAGUUGCCAGCAAGUUAAGUUGGGCACUCUAAGGAGACUGCCGGUGAUAAACCGGAGGAAGGUGGGGAUGACGUCAAAUCAUCAUGCCCCUUAUGUCUUGGGCUACACACGUGCUACAAUGGUCGGUACAACGGGGAGCGAAAGAGUGAUCUGGAGCAAAUCCCAAUAAACCGAUCCCAGUUCGGAUUGUAGGCUGCAACUCGCCUACAUGAAGUCGGAGUUGCUAGUAAUCGCGAAUCAGAACGUCGCGGUGAAUGCGUUCCCGGGUCUUGUACACACCGCCCGUAAGGGC